rnacentral:tRNA from 1 species
AGCCCCGAGGUGUAGAAACAUGUCAGACUGCAGAUCUGAAGUCGGCAGCCGCCCGGGGUUU